rnacentral:lncRNA from 1 species
UGUUGAUGCUGAAAUCUGCUCGUCCUUAGACCGACCAGAUUCUUUCACCAACGUUUACGUUAUUGACUGUUGCUCGAACCACUCAGGCUGGAAUCACCUUCUUUUCCCUCGCUAGACCUGCGUUCACCAAAAACGGAUCAGAGACGCCGGUGGUUUUGCCGGCGUAAACCCUCCGAUGCCUAAGUUAGCACAAGGUGUUUACGGGAAAACAGUGUAAUAUGAUUUCAGGAAAUUUGUAAGGAAAUGGCCUGGUUGCAAUUUGGCAGCGUUUCCCCUCUCUCUCUUUUUUUUAUCUCCCUAUCUUCUUCGAUGUCUUUCUCUUUUAUAGCCGCCCUUUGUCCCACGUUUUCCGUUUGCCCCUGAUUCCUCCUUUUUCGGGUGGUGGUAGCCCCUCAUGGGACUCUAACUGUUAGAUUGUGGGCAAACGUGGAUCUCGCGUGUCCUUCAACCGUUCUGGGAGAAACGCAACUACCGCGGUUUUGUGGGAUCGUGUUCCCGCUUUCCUGGGGAUGAGUAUUGGCUCGGCAUAUAUUUCUGGUCGGUAUGUUUCCCUGGUUGUUCUCUCCUCUGAUCGGCUCAUGCUUGCCCACAUGCUCUGCUCGUAUAUAAGAGAUGAAGCAAUCCGUUCUGGGAUGGAACUAGUUGCAUGGCCGACCUGGUGUUCUUCAUGCACUCAACA